rnacentral:rRNA from 1 species
AGAGUUGUAUCCUGGCUCAGAAGGAACGCUGGCAGCGUGCAUAACACAUGCAAGUCGAACGUGAGUACUCUUCGGGGUAUGAAAGUGGCGAACGGGUGAGUAACACGUAAGAAUCUACCUUUAGGACGGGGAUAACUUCUGGAAACGGAUGCUAAUACCCGAUAUGCUGUGGAGUGAAAGAAUUUCGCCUAAAGAUGAUCUUGCGUCUGAUUAGCUAGAUAGGGUGGUAACGGCACACUAUGGCGACGAUCAGUAGCUGGUCUGAGAGGAUGGACAGCCACAUUGGAACUGAGACACGGUCCAAACUCCUACGGGAGGCAGCAGUGGGGAAUUUUCCGCAAUGGGCGAAAGCCUGACGGAGCGACGCUGCGUGAAGGAUGACGGCCUGCGGGUUGUAAACUUCUUUUCUCGAAGAAGAAUAAAUGACGGUAUUCGAGGAAUAAGCAUCGGCUAACUCUGUGCCAGCAGCCGCGGUAAGACAGAGGAUGCAAGUGUUAUUCGGAUUGAUUGGGCGUAAAGCGUCUGUAGGCGGUUUGAAAAGUCUUUUGUGAAAUUCUUCGGCUCAACCGGGGGUCC